rnacentral:rRNA from 1 species
GCAUGUUUUUGACAUUUGAAAAGUGGACUGCUCAGUAAUACUCACUUUAUUUUAUGUAAAUUUUUAAUUAACUACGUUAAAGUGUAGAUAAGAUGUUUACAGUAAGAGUGAGACCUAUCAGCUAGUUGUUAAGGUAAUGGCUUAACAAGGCUGUGACGGGUAACGGUAUUACUUUGUAAUAUUCCGGAGAAGGAGCCUGAGAGACGGCUACUAAGUCUAAGGAUUGCAGCAGGGGCGAAACUUGACCUAUGGAUUUUAUCUGAGGCAGUUAUGGGAAGUAAUAUUAUAUUGUUUCAUAUUUUAAAAGUAUAUGAGGUGAUUAAUUGGAGGGCAAAUCAAGUGCCAGCAGCCGCGGUAAUACUUGUUCCAAGAGUGUGUAUGAUGAUUGAUGCAGUUAAAAAGUCCGUAGUUUAUUUUUUUAAGAAGCAAUAUGAGGUGUACUGUAUAGUUGGGAGAAAGAUGAAAUGUGACGACCCUGACUGGACGAACAGAAGCGAAAGCUGUACACUUGUAUGUAUUUUUUGAACAAGGACGUAAGCUGGAGGAGCGAAGAUGAUUAGAUACCAUUGUAGUUCCAGCAGUAAACUAUGCCGACGAUGUGAUAUGAAAAUAUUAAUUUGUAUUACAUAAUAGAAAUUUGAGUUUUUUGGCUCUGGGGAUAGUAUGAUCGCAAGAUUGAAAAUUAAAGAAAUUGACGGAAGAAUACCACAAGGAGUGGAUUGUGCGGCUUAAUUUGACUCAACGC